GACCACAGUCAGUGAUAGACUGGAGUUUUAACAGGCGGAGUGGAGUCCCUCACCCUUGCCAUCUGCCUUAACCCCACCCACGCAGCACAGGAGCGACACUGGCCCUUUCCCCCACUCCAGAGAUGGGCCUGCUGGUCCAGCUGGUCUCCCUGCCUCAGCUGCCUACGCCAACACCAUCUCUCGUUGCAGAGUCCAAAGUGUUCAGAAGCUGCGUUCUGUGUCUGGUACGCAGUCACAGCCUCCCAGGGGAAAGUUAGAAGCUUUUCUUUCUCUUCUGAAACGUCUUAUUUUCAUCAUGACUAUUGUGAUGACCUGGAAAAGGGUCUGUUGGAGAUGUUCGUGUGGAGCACCUGACUCAGUUUUUGUCAACACACUGUGUUCAUCAGCAUCUCCACUUAAUCAAUGUGCAAAUGGAUGCAAAGUUAAAGAAUUAAAAGGCAGGGAAAACCUCACAUGUAACAAAGUAACAGCAGAAGGAUCUCAGAAACAGCAAACAGCAGCAGCAGAGUCAGCUGACUUUCGUUAGGGACAUGAGACUGCAAAUUGAGAGGAAAGCGAACAACCACUGAAGAUGCCUUCGCUCAGGCAAACUCACCGGGUGUAUUAGAGAAAGCCAUGGCAGAAAGCGUAUCUCUGUGGAUGUCAGUACUGUUCCUAAAAUGACGGGCUUAUUAUGAACAGUAAAACAAAUUCCAAAUUCAAGUUGGUAAUUAUGACAGCACUUGCCAUGACUGUCUCUUAGGGUGAAGGAUUUAAUUAUUUUAUGCAUAUGCCACUAAAUUCUUUUCUAGCACUGAGGGAUUAACACGGACGUCCACGCAGCCCUCAGUGAGUGACUGGACAAGAGAUUCCGUGUAAAGCUGCGACAUCAUGAAAGAUGGCGCCCUGUGCUGCAAGAGGUCAGGAUAGGAAGGCAGCACACAGACACAGGCUUUCUGCCAGGGACACUUGUACAGCAGCUCAGAAUGGCAGUGCCAAGAGCAGCCUCCCUUUAACAAAUGGCGAACAUGGAACAGGACACGCAGCCAGAUGGACAUGGCGACUGCAGAAGUUUUCUUUCAGCUUGCAGCCCAGGGGCAACAGAAACACAAGAGACUUGAGAAGCAAUUCCUGUUGGACAAACCCUGGCCUGGGCAAUCCAAUCAUUGGGGAAAUAGGAUGAAGGAUGUGGGAUUUCUAUUUGUGUCAGCUAUGUGGAAUAAAGAAUGAGAAAGUUUUAGUAUAAUUCUUCACAUGUAGUAUUUGUU
rnacentral:lncRNA from 1 species